GACGAACGCUGGCGGCGUGCUUAACACAUGCAAGUCGAACGGAAAGGCACUGCUUUUGUGGGGUGCUCGAGUGGCGAACGGGUGAGUAACACGUGAGUAACCUGCCCUUGACUUUGGGAUAACUUCGGGAAACUGGGGCUAAUACCGGAUAGGAGCGCCUGCUGCAUGGUGGGGUGUGGAAAGGUUCGGCGGGUGGGGGUGGACUCGCGGGUUUUCAAGUUGUUGGGGGGGUAGUGGCUUACCAAGGCUGUGGCGGGGAGCCGGCCUGAGAGGGUGACCGGCCACAUUGGGACUGAGGUACGGGCCAGACUCCUACGGGAGGCAGGAGUGGGGGAUAAUGCACAAUGGGCGGAAGCCUGAUGCAGCAAAGCCGCGUGCGGGAUGACGGCCUUCCGGUUGUAAAACGCUUUCGCCUGUGAAGAAGGGUGAGUGACGGUAAUGGGUAAAGAAGCACCGGCUAACUACGUG
rnacentral:rRNA from 1 species